AAGUAGGAACCUUUGGGUUCUGAAGUUCUUGAAGCUGGGGUAGCGACCGGCAACCUGUCCUAUGGCAAGAUUGGAGUGAGACUGAGAUAGAAGAAUCCAGGAAGCGUGUGCUGUGGCAAGCAAGAGAUGUGUCUCAAGCAAGACAGGAACCAAGGAUCAGCAAGUUGUCCCCUGCCCUCUACAUGCAUGCUGUGGUGUCCCUUGGUAACAAGGAAAGAAUGGAAUGAACUGUGUCCCUUGAGAGCCGUCUGAUGAUCAUCUCCCUUCCCAUAAGGUGGAGUGGCCCAUGAGAGCCUGAGCCAGCAUAAAGCCACCUUGGAUCAACCUUAGUCACUUCAAAUUUGGUCUCGUGGAGCCACCUGAAAGUGACAGCCAUAAAAGCCCCAGCCCGCUGCUGAGAGGAGCUGCCUGGACAGAGCAUCUCUGAGGCCCGAGGUGCUGGGACUGCACACACUAAAAAGGCAAAGGGGAACCUGACUGCGUUUUCAUCCUGCUGCCUUUAGAGGGCCCGGUCUGUGUGGUGUCACUCAACAGUCCUUGGGACAUCUCCUCAUAGCCACAGACUGGUUCUGCGAUUGGCCGCCUU
rnacentral:lncRNA from 1 species